rnacentral:tRNA from 56 species
GGGCGCGUAGCUCAGCGGUAGAGCUCUGGUUUUACACACCAGCGGUCGGCGGUUCGAUCCCGUCCGCGCCCA